UACAGAUCGUGUGAAUCAUCGAAUCUUUGAACGCACCUUGCACUUUAAGAGUCGAUCUUAAAGUAUACCUGUUUGAGUAUCAUAAACAUUUAUCCAAGUUAUUGGGAUUUGUAUGGGUCAAUUAGCGGCGACGCUGAUUGUCUGUUUAAAUGUAGUAGGGAAUCAGGGAUAAGCGCGCUUAUUUCUUGAAUGAGGAUAUUUACUCUUGUAGUAAAGUAAUCAUGAGAGGAUGAGAAGCGAGAUCUGUGAGGCUCUGACUGGUGUGCAUGAUGUUAUGUUAUGUUACACUAUUAGCAAACUCUAACCAGUUCGCUGCACAAAUGUGAUCUCAAAUCAGGCAAGACUACCCGCCGAACUUAGGCAUAUCAAUAAGCGGAGG
rnacentral:rRNA from 1 species